UGCCGCGUGCAGGAUGACGGUCCUAUGGAUUGUAAACUGCUUUUGUACGGGAAGAAACACUCCGACGUGUCGGAGCUUGACGGUACCGUAAGAAUAAGGAUCGGCUAACUCCGUGCCAGCAGCCGCGGUAAUACGGAGGAUCCAAGCGUUAUCCGGAAUCAUUGGGUUUAAAGGGUCCGUAGGCGGUCUGGUAAGUCAGUGGUGAAAGCCCAUCGCUCAACGGUGGAACGGCCAUUGAUACUGCUGGACUUGAAUUACUGGGAAGCAACUAGAAUAUGUAGUGUAGCGGUGAAAUGCUUAGAGAUUACAUGGAAUACCAAUUGCGAAGGCAGGUUGCUACCAGUGGAUUGACGCUGAUGGACGAAAGCGUGGGUAGCGAACAGGAUUAGAUACCCUGGUAGUCCACGCCGUAAACGAUGGAUACUAGCUGUUGGGAGCAAUCUCAGUGGCUAAGCGAAAGUGAUAAGUAUCCCACCUGGGGAGUACGUUCGCAAGAAUGAAACUCAGAGGAAUUGACGGGGGCCCGCACAAGCGGUGGAGCAUGUGGUUUAAUUCGAUGAUACGCGAGGAACCUUACCAAGGCUUAAAUGCAGACUGACCGAUUUGGAAACAGAUCUAUC
rnacentral:rRNA from 1 species